rnacentral:rRNA from 1 species
UACGGGGGGAGCAAGCGUUGUUCGGAUUUACUGGGCGUAAAGGGCGCGUAGGCGGCCUGCUAAGUCGAACGUGAAAUCCCUGGGCUCAACCCAGGAACUGCGUCCGAUACUGGUUGGCUUGAAUCCGGGAGAGGGAUGUGGAAUUCCAGGUGUAGCGGUGAAAUGCGUAGAUAUCAAGAGGAACCCCUGAGGCGAAGGCGGGUUGCUAGGCUGAUACUGACGCUGAGUGCGCGAAAGCUAGGGUAGCAAACGGG